GAGCCAUUAGCUCAGUUGGUAGAGCACCUGACUUUUAAUCAGGGGGUCGUAGGUUCGAAUCCUACAUGGCUCACCA
rnacentral:tRNA from 2 species